CUGCUUUGAAGGCCAGCAAGCUACAUGCCAAAAGCAUGAGAAAAGCCGUGUGCCUGACCUGCUGUAGCCUGGACUGGCUCCUUUGUCUAGAAACCACUGUCCCCAUGGAGGAGUUGGAGGAAUCCACAUGGCCUAAAGCAAACAAGAUAGAAGGAGUUCCUGAAGAAUGUGGGGAAUUGGAAAGUAGAGGGAAAAUUGAGGAGACACGAUGGCUUCUGGAUUGGAGCCAUAUAGUAGCUGAAAGCCUUUAAUAUAUACCUCAAAUCUGUGGAAAUGCGUGCAUAAUUACUUGGGUACAUAAGCAUGUUACUGAGCUGACCAUCCUUUGGCAUCAAGACUGACUGACCUGACGACUGCUCUACCUUGUGGAUGCAAGGCUGUGGGAGCGCCAGCCUCUCAGUGCAGCCCCUAUGGAACAGAAUGGAGAACUGGUCACCUGGCUCCCAGGUCCCGCUAUCACUCGUCUGUCCCGUGUUGCAUGUGUCCCCUGAACUUGCAGGCUGCACUCGGGUUCGACCCAGGUGGAUGCACUUUCCUGUCUCAGCAUCAACAGGGAAGCCCUGGGGCAGGAGGCUAGAGACGCUGGGCAUUGGCAGGAGGUGGGGAGCUGCCGGCCGUCCGUGUGAAGGUGAUGGGAGCCCACAAACAGCUGACCACUGCAAAGGGGAAGCAAGAGCAUUGAAUGAA